UCCCCAGUGGCGCAACUGGUUAGCGCGCCGUACUUAUAAUGCGGAGGUUGUGAGUUCGAUCCUCACCUGGGGAA
rnacentral:tRNA from 1 species